UUCAUGACAAAAUUGUGUUUUGGUGAUGGUGAUGUGUUUGUAGAUCUUACUUUACUAAACAUUCUUGCUGCUUACAAUCAUCUCUAUCUAUAACAGUACUUUCUGUGGAAAAUGUUAUUGAAAAUCUUCAAAUUUUAAGAAAAUUGUUAAAAAUUGACUAUGAAGGGCAAAAACUCCUUAGGGGGUCAAUUGACUAUUUUGGUUAUAGUGACUUAUUUUUAG
rnacentral:lncRNA from 1 species